UGAGCCAUUCAAAAGAUACAUGCCUAGUAAUGAAAGAUGUACCCUUUGUGUGAUUUCACAAGAACUCUAUUCUUUAUCAUAAUGUUGCUUUACAGGGCAAUGUAGACAAGAUGGAGCAUAGUGAGGCUGAUUCCAGUGUUCUUGCUACCCAGGGGUUGCUUUCAGAGUGCCAGAGAGAUGAAAGAGGCAAUCAAGAAAGAGAUUCACUUUGACUCUUUAGUGAAGGAACAUUCAACUAGGUUUUGUGCGGUGUAUUUCUGAUGGCUGCUGACACAUGAAUAGGAGACACCUGAAGACAAGACGUCAGUCACAGAGGGAGGGUUGUGUCCGACCGAUUGGCUCAGCUCCGGUGUGAUGGACAACCCAGACCUUCUACUGUGCCUGGUGAUGCGCACAGGAGGAACACGGAUCAAAUCAAUUGCUGGACCAGAAUCCCCCAAUCUCAGAAAAAAUUGCACCAGAAACCCAACAAGAAGGGAGACCAACAUGGCUCCGAAACAACAAGAUUACAGAAUUCAAAAUGGAGAUUGUGAACAAGUUUUUAAAAUGAUACCAUAACACAAUAUAUGGUUAGAAUACAUAUAACAGUUUUCUCAUACAGUCUGGGCCAGCAUAAGAAAGAAAAACAUGAGGCUCCUUCAGGGAUUGCUCCCACUUCUUCCCACUCUUCCUGACUGCUGAAUGCUGUCAUUGAAAUCUAUCCAUGUAGACAGAUGGAUGUAAUGAUGUUUGAUUUUUGGUAGGGCAGAAAACAGAAAAGAAAAAUAAAUCAAAGGCAAGAUGGUCA
rnacentral:lncRNA from 1 species